rnacentral:rRNA from 1 species
UGACCUCAAAUCAGGUAGGACUACCCGCUGAACUUAAGCAUAUCAAUAAGCGGAGGAAAAGAAACUAACAAGGAUUCCCCUAGUAACUGCGAGUGAAGCGGGAAAAGCUCAAAUUUAAAAUCUGUCAGUCUUUGAUUGAUCGAGUUGUAAUCUAGAGAAGUGUUAUCCGCGCUGGACCGUGUACAAGUCUCCUGGAAUGGAGCGUCAUAGAGGGUGAGAAUCCCGUCUUUGACACGGACUACCAGGGCUUUGUGAUGCGCUCUCAAAGAGUCGAGUUGUUUGGGAAUGCAGCUCAAAAUGGGUGGUAAAUUCCAUCUAAAGCUAAAUAUUGGCGAGAGACCGAUAGCGAACAAGUACCGUGAGGGAAAGAUGAAAAGAACUUUGGAAAGAGAGUUAAACAGUACGUGAAAUUGCUGAAAGGGAAACGCUUGAAGUCAGUCGCGUUGUCCAGGGAUCAACCUUGCUUUUGCUUGGUGUACUUUCUGGUUAACGGGUCAGCAUCAAUUUUGAUCAUUGGAAAAAGAUUAGGGGAAUGUAGCGUCUUUGGAUGUGUUAUAGCCCUUGGUUGUAUACAAUUGUUCAAAUUGAGGAACUCAGCCCUCCUCA